AACGUCGGUCAGCGACGCACGUUGCUUCAGUAGCUGGGGGCUAUCAAAGCUGUGAGAGCAGCCAUAUUUCUGCCUAUUCAUGGCACAUGGGUGUAAAGAUGUGCUUUUUGCUCGUGGAGCUGCACAAAGUGACGAUUCAGACAUUUGGGAUGACACUGCACUGAUAAAGGCCUACGACAAAGCAGUUGCAUCAUUUAAGACUGCCCUGAAAGGUGAGGAGGACACACAAAGCUCAGAGAGAGACAACCCUGGAAAGAAACGAAAAAACAACAGAAACAACCGCAGCAGAAAGAGAAGCAAUGCUCCUCUGGAUAAAGAGUGGCGAGUCGGAGACUCCUGCUGUGCCUACUGGUCUAAAGAUGGAAAUUUGUACGCUGCCACGAUCUCAUCCAUAGAUGAGCAGAGGGGCACCUGUAUAGUUGUGUUCACACACUAUGGGAACGAGGAGGAGCAGAACCUCCGAGACCUUCUGAUAGAGAGCUCAGAGGUAGAUGAGGAAGCCCCUAGUAAGUGUUCGUGUCUCUUUCUGUAAUGCAGGUUAAAGAAGCAGAGUCUUCUACAGAAGAGAGCGACAGGUCGUCCACCCCACACCCUCACAGUCAUGUGCCACGCUCUAAACCCAAAUUCAAAUCCCCCAAAGGACCUCCUAUGUCGGGUCCAGGCUUCCCUGCCUUUCCCCCAGGUCCCCCUCCAAUGCCUGGCUUCAGAAUGGGAGACUCAAGGCGACCUGGGGUCUCCAGGCCCGCCCCUCCAGGAUGGCCUCCUAUGAUGCCCUGUGGGCCACCGAUGAUCCCUCCUCCUCCCCCCAUGAGUCCAAACGGAGAGGAUGAUGAGGCUCUGGGCAGUAUGCUGCUCGCCUGGUACAUGAGUGGUUACCACACUGGAUACUACCUGGGUUUGAAACAAGGCCGCAAAGAAGCUGCGUCUGGAAGGAAGACUCGCCACAAGUGAGAAAGGGGACUUCUGUUCUUACCAGGUGUGUGUCUCCAUCCCAGAUGAAGAGGACGGGAGUGUUGUCAAUUAAAUGUAACGUGUGACUGCAUUCCUGUUUCAAAACUCCGAAACACUUUGGAGGCAUGUUUUUGUAUUCUUUGUAAAUAAAACAAAUCAAGGCUGUUUUAGCUCACA